rnacentral:lncRNA from 1 species
UUCCCUUUUGGCAACUCACUCUCAUACCAUGUAUCAUUCUUUAUCAUAGCUCCUGCCUCAGCUCCAACUGAUUCCUUCCACUCCUUGUCUUGUAUUGCCUCUUCAUAGCUUCUUGGGAUAUAACCCUCAUCCAGAUUUACCAUGAAUGCGCAAUGUGCUUCAGGAUACUGAGCAAAGGAACACACAGCUUGAGAAGGAUGCUCCACAGCUUGGGCAUUGUAGUACACUCUCGUGUUUACCCA